CCAGACUCCUACGGGAGGCAGCAGUGAGGAAUAUUGGUCAAUGGUCGGGAGACUGAACCAGCCAAGCCGCGUGAGGGAUGAAGGUACAGAGUAUCGUAAACCUCUUUUGUCAGGGAACAAAGGCGGGGACGUGUCCCCGGAUGAGUGUACCUGAAGAAAAAGCAUCGGCUAACUCCGUGCCAGCAGCCGCGGUAAUACGUAGGGGGCAAGCGUUAUCCGGAUUUACUGGGUGUAAAGGGAGCGUAGACGGCAAUACAAGUCGGAAGUGAAAUACCCGGGCUCAACCUGGGAACUGCUUUGGAAACUGUAUGGCUGGAGUGCUGGAGAGGUAAGCGGAAUUCCUAGUGUAGCGGUGAAAUGCGUAGAUAUUAGGAGGAACACCAGUGGCGAAGGCGGCCUGCUGGACAGAAACUGACGUUGAGGCUCGAAAGCGUGGGGAGCAAACAGGAUUAGAUACCCGUGUA
rnacentral:rRNA from 1 species